rnacentral:rRNA from 1 species
UACGGAGGAUGCGAGCGUUAUCCGGAUUUACUGGGUGUAAAGGGAGCGUAGGUGGCAUGGCAAGCCAGAAGUGAAAACCCGGGGCUUAACCCCGCGGAUUGCUUUUGGAACUGUCAGGCUGGAGUGCAGGAGGGGCAGGCGGAAUUCCUGGUGUAGCGGUGAAAUGCGUAGAUAUCAGGAGGAACACCGGUGGCGAAGGCGGCCUGCUGGACUGUAACUGACACUGAGGCUCGAAAGCGUGGGGAGCAAACAGG